rnacentral:rRNA from 1 species
UACGGGGGGAGCAAGCGUUGUUCGGAUUUACUGGGCGUAAAGGGCGCGUAGGCGGUCAGCACAAGUCAGUUGUGAAAUCUCCGGGCUUAACCCGGAAAGGUCAACUGAUACUGUGCGACUAGAGUGCGGAAGGGGCAACUGGAAUUCUCGGUGUAGCGGUGAAAUGCGUAGAUAUCGAGAGGAACACCUGAGGUGAAGACGGGUUGCUGGGCUGACACUGACGCUGAAGCGCGAAAGCCAGGGGAGCAAACGGG